AAGGUUCUGAGCUACUCAGACAGCUGCAGCAUAUGAGUCAUUCAGGUUGCAAAUGUCAUCAGGUGCUUCACAUUAUCCCUUUAUCAGGGGUCCUCAAGCAGAUAGGAUCCUUUCCUACACUGCUACCAGACUGCAACUUCUAACUGAACCUUUUACAAGUGUUCUCUAGAAUGAGGCCAAGAAGACAUCCGCGUUCUGGUAUGGCUUUGGUAGAACACAGUUGUAGUGAGUCAAAAUCCUCUGGAAGACGUCUU